rnacentral:piRNA from 1 species
UGUCAAGGAUGUAUUAGGCACAGAAGUC